AUUGAACGCUGGCGGCAGGCCUAACACAUGCAAGUCGAGCGAGCGGCGGACGGGUGAGUAAUGUAUGGGGACUGCCCGAUAGAGGGGGAUAACUACUGGAAACGGUGGCUAAUACCGCAUACUAUCGGAUAACCCAUAUGGGAUUAGAUAGUAGGUGGGGUAAAGGCUCACCUAGGCGACGAGCUCUAGCUGGUCUGAGAGGAUGAUUAGCCACACUGGGACUGAGACACGGCCCAGACUCCGACGGAGGCAGCAGUGGGUAAUAUUGCACAAUGGGCGCAAGCCUGAUGCAGCCAUGCCGCGUGUAUGAAGAAGGCCUUAGGGUUGUAAAGUUCUUUCGGUAGCGAGGCGUUACCCGCAGAAGAAGCACCGGCUAACUCCGUGCCAGCCGCCGCGGUAAUUC
rnacentral:rRNA from 1 species